ACGGCCAUAUAAUCUUGAAAACACUAGUUCCUGUAUGAUCACCAAAGUUAAGCAAUGUUGAAUCUGAUCAGUACCUAGAUGAGUGACUGCUUGGGAAUACCAGGUGGUGUA
rnacentral:rRNA from 1 species